UGCCAGCAGCCGCGGUAAUACGGAGGGGGCCAGCGUUAUUCGGAAUUACUGGGCGUAAAGGGCGCGUAGGCGGCCUGAUCAGUGGGAAGUGAAAGCCCUCGGCUUAACCGAGGAACUGCUUUCCAUACUGUCAGGCUUGAGUAUGGGAGAGGGAAGUGGAAUUCCUGGUGUAGCGGUGAAAUGCGUAGAUAUCAGGAGGAACACCAGUGGCGAAGGCGACUUCCUGGACCAUGACUGACGCUGAGGCGCGAAAGCGUGGGGAGCAAACAGGAUUAGAUA
rnacentral:rRNA from 1 species